GGCUCGUUGGUCUAGGGGUAUGAUUCUUGCUUUCGGGUGCGAGAGGUCCCGGGUUCAAAUCCUGGACGAGCCC
rnacentral:tRNA from 1 species